rnacentral:rRNA from 1 species
GAUGAACGCUGGCGGCGUGCCUAAUACAUGCAAGUCGAGCGAACGGACGAGAAGCUUGCUUCUCUGAUGUUAGCGGCGGACGGGUGAGUAACACGUGGAUAACCUACCUAUAAGACUGGGAUAACUUCGGGAAACCGUAGCUAAUACCGGAUAAUAUUUUGAACCGCAUGGUUCAAAAGUGAAAGACGGUCUUGCUGUCACUUAUAGAUGGAUCCGCGCUGCAUUAGCUAGUUGGUAAGGUAACGGCUUACCAAGGCAACGAUGCAUAGCCGACCUGAGAGGGUGAUCGGCCACACGGGAACUGAGACACGGUCCAGACUCCUACGGGAGGCAGCAGUAGGGAAUCUUCCGCAGUGGGCGAAAGCCUGACGGAGCAACGCCGCGUGAGUGAUGAAGGUCUUCGGAUCGUAAAACUCUGUUAUUAGGGAAGAACAUAUGUGUAAGUAACUGUGCACAUCUUGACGGUACCUAAUCAGAAAGCCACGGCUAACUACGUG